rnacentral:lncRNA from 1 species
AGAGCCUGGGGGGACCUGCUUCAAAGGGCAGGAAGUAAAUAAGGAGACAGAGAGAGGGGUCUGCAGACACUUUUUCUUCACUAAGAUCAGAGCGCCUCAACAUAAAGGAGCCUGGCACCUGGGAUCCCAGCCCCCCUGGCCCUGACUGUGACACAGGCAGUAGGCAUGGCAGGAGGGACCGUGGAAGACACCUCAGAUGAUGUCCUGACUGAGAAGCUAUGCAAACUGAGCCCCACCAUGAAGCUGUGGUUAGAUCAUCUGGGACUACAAGACACACGCAC